rnacentral:tRNA from 1 species
GGAAACUUAGCUCAAUUGGUUGGAGCUUUCACCUCAUAAGUGAACGGUUAUGGGUUCAAGUCCCAUAGUUUCCA